GCGGGCGCGCGCACGCCGGCCCCCGACGCGGUCCAACCCGCGCGCCUGCCGGCCCGGGCCUCGCCGCCGCGCGCCCACUUCCGCAUCCGGCGCCGGGCGCUUCCGCUCGUAGCGGCGUCUGCCGGGAGGGUGUGCUACAGACCUCCAGAUGUGGGCCCGUGGGAUUCAGCAGAGGAUGAGUCCUCUGUCGUGCUGUCAUCAGUAAGCCACUCUUCCCAACUGCUUUCCCGCCAUCCACUGUCCUUAUGUCUACCCUGCUUCUCAAUCUGGAUUUUGGGGAACCUCCCCCUAAAAAAGCUUUAGAGGGGAAUGCCAAGCACCGAAAAUUCGUCAAGAAGCGGCGGCUCUUGGAACGGAGGGGCUUUCUGAAUAAGAAGAACCAGCCCCCGAGCAAGACACCUAAGCUACAUUCAGAACCUACGAAGAAAGGGGAGACUCCUAAGGUGGAUGGCACUUGGAAGGUUUCUCCCCUUCCAAAAAAGAAGGCAGUUGCCUCCAGCAGUGGACCAGAGCAGUCCCUGGACAAGAAGACUGCAGUGCCGUGGCUGACACCUGCCCCUCCACAGAAGGCUGGCUCUGCUUUGGCUAAAGUAGAUUUGCUGGGGGAGUUCCAGAGUGCCCUUCCAAAGAUUAGGAGCCACCCAACUCGCCCCCACAAGAAGGGCCCACAGAAGAAUCCUACUCAGAAGAAUGCCCCACAGAAUUCCAUCCAGUCUCAUUCAGACAAUAAGUGCUCUGGAACAAUCCAGAAAACACCGAAGAAGAUGGUGGCCAUUGACUGUGAAAUGGUGGGCACGGGACCCAAGGGGCAUGUCAGUUCCCUGGCUCGAUGUAGCAUUGUCAACUACCAUGGAGAUGUGCUCUAUGACGAGUACAUCCUUCCGCCCUGCCACAUCGUGGACUACCGGACCAGGUGGAGUGGCAUCCGGAAGCAGCACAUGGUGAAUGCUACACCCUUCAAGGUUGCACGGGGCCAGAUCUUGAAGAUACUCACAGGGAAGAUAGUGGUGGGCCACGCCAUCCACAACGACUUCAAAGCCCUUCAGUACUUCCACCCCAAGUCCCUCACCCGUGACACCUCCCACAUUCCCCCCCUCAACCGGAAGGCUGACUGCCCAGAGAAUGCCACUAUGUCUCUGAAGAGUCUCACCAAGAAGCUUCUAAACCGGGACAUCCAGGUUGGGAAAAGUGGACAUUCCUCCGUGGAAGAUGCUCAGGCCACCAUGGAGCUGUACAAGUUGGUUGAAGUCGAGUGGGAACAGCACCUGGCCCAGAAUCCCCCAAAGGACUAAUAGCAGUGGGGGCGCUGUGAUGUGGGGAUACAGAGGCGGCACCACACCCAGGAGAAACCGGGCCAUGGACCAGUGGACAGCUCUACCAGCUCCACCUCUUCACAAGCUCAAGCUGUGAGGGAGAGAGAGGCUCCACCCCAGGCUUAAUAUUCAUUGAAAUUUCCCCUCAGGUGUUGUGUGUCUGGCUAAGUGUUCCGCGGAAGGAGGAAGCCUCCAUGUCAGAAGCAGCCGUAUACUGUUUACCUCUUCAGUGGUGCUAACCUUGGGUCCCAGGGUGCUGGCUCCAGCAGGCCUUCUGACCUUCAAGGGGCAGGGCAUACUGGGAAGUGUAGUUUCCCAAACUGCCUUAUCGCCAGGGUGUCCCAUUUUAUGCCUUUUGUUCUCAAGUAAUUAGCAGCACCUUGUGUCACUCUGAGAAGGACCCUGGUUGGAUGAUUGUGCUGCGAAUCACAGACUCAGCUUUUGUCUCAGUCUCCACCUAGUUUGUGGGGGCAUACUGCUUGUCCUUGCCACUCUGACCUCCCGAGGAGCCAUCCCUGGUGAGAGGUUCAGUUCUCCUCUGGGUUACGCAGUAGAGGACCAUAAUGUUGGCAGUCAGAUGGAAGCCAGAUUGGAGAAGAGCCAGGAGAUGAGUUCUGUCUGAAUAACCCGGGUAAGCAAUGAUGGAGGGAGGCCUGGAUCACGGAGGUGAGAGGAUGCACAUGAACACCAUGGGGAGGUAGGAGCUACUGAAGACCUAGAGGUCAGAGCAGGACGAUUAAAGACAGUCUUGAUACUUCUGACCUGCGGAGGAUAAGCAGCAGUGAUGUCGUUCACCAGGACAGAGAGUGAUGGGCAGAAGAGUGGUUUCCCAGGAAGCUGACUCUGGGGUGCCUUGGAGCUGCCUGAAGAUACUGAGUGAGAGACCUGGGACUGAUGGCUCAGAGACUGCCAGGCAGCAGGGGGGGAACCUUGGAUGGGGAGGAGGCCUUUCCAUAUGAAGGUGCAUGCAGGAGAGCGCAAGGCCAAGAGGAGAGGCUUGGGAUCCACCCUGGAGGGCAGCCUGAGGGAGGCUACCAGGUGGGCCAGAGGGCAACCCAAGAGGCUCUCCAGGGGGGAGGGACAGUAUCAGACACAACGGAGCGGGCCAGCAGCAUGAGAGCCAAGGAAAGGCUCUGUUUUUGUAUGAAUUUGGUGCCUUUCAUCUGAGCAGUGUCUGCGGUGGGGGCAGAGGGCAGCAGAAGCUCACCCGAGGCGGGUUGCAGAAUAUAUUGGAGGUGAAAAGGGAGAGAGGUGGUGUGCACCGCUCUCCAGGGGCUCUGAAGAGGGGCCCAUGAGGACCACAUGGGAAUGAGGGGUCUGAGGAGGCUGCUGGCAAAGCCGUCAACCACGUGGCAGAGGAGGUGGCCGCUAUAGUGGGUCCCAAGAGAUUGGGGGGAUGAGCUUGACCUUGGCCAGCAAUGGGGACCCUUGUCUUCUAGGUCCAAAGGGAAGGAGGAAGGGAUGGGGCAGACGAGUAUGUUUCUGGGCAGCACCCGAUUGUUCGUUAAAUCUGAGUAGAGGGGGGGAUCCCUGGGUGGCGCAGCGGUUUAGCACCUGCCUUUGGCCCAGGGCACGAUCCUGGAGACCCGGGAUAGAAUCCCAUGUCGGGCUCCUGGUGCAUGGAGCCUGCUUCUCCCUCUGCCUAUGUCUCUGCCUCUCUCUCUCUCUCUCUCUCUCUCUCUCUCUCUCUCUCUGUGACUAUCAUAAGUAAAUAAAAAUUAAAAAAAAAAACAUUUAAAAAAAAGGAGCAGCCACGGAGAAGGGAAAAUGAGCUGAUGCAGAUGGACCUGAGUUUGCGGUGGUGCUGCAAGCAGGUCUUUUUCACCUGGCAGCGCAAAUCUAGAAGGGGAGAGCUUCCACGGUUGGGAGGAUGAGGUGUGCUGGAGUCCUUGGACUUGCAGCCUUGAGAGGCUAAGCUGUUGAGUGAGGGUCAGGGACCCUCCUCCCAGUGGCCAGCCUGACCUUGGAGACCUGGAAGGGGGAGCCUGGGCCAGAUCUGCAGUGCCCUGGGCAUGCGCAGCAAUGAACACAUUGCCUUUCUGAGGAGGAGGCUGAGUGCUACUGAGAAGCAUGAAGAGUCCUGGCCUCUCCCAGCUGGGGCAGGGCCGCCCUUGUUUGCAGACUUGAUUUUUGUCAGAGCGCCUCUUUUAUGAGCCUAUCAAGGACAGUAAAUAGACGAUUAAAUCAAGAACAGAAGUACUGGGGUGCCUGGGUGGCUCAGUCGGUUGGGCAUUUGCCUUCAGCUCAGGUCAUGAUCUCAGAGUCCUGGGAUCAAGUUCCACAUGGGGCUCCCUGCUCAGCAGGCAGUCUGGUUCUCCCUCCUCCACCCCCUCCUCCACCAGAGUGUGUGCACAUACACUUUAACCCUCCUUCAAAUAAAUAAGUAAUCUUAAAAAAAAAAAAAAAAAAAAAAGAACCAGGUCCGUCCAAGUGGCUCAGUGGUUUAGCACCACCUUCAGCCCAGGGUGUGAUCCUGGAGACCCAGAAUCGAGUCCCACGUCAGGCUCCCAGCAUGGAGCCUGCUUCUCCCUCUGCCUGUGUCUCUGCCUCUUUCUCUCUGUGUCUCUCAUGAAUAAAUAAAUAAAAUCUUUAAAAAUAUGGGCAGCCCGGGGGGCUCAGCGGUUUAGCUCGGGCUUCAGCCCAGGGCGUGAUCCUGGAGCUCCGGGAUCGAGUCCCACGUCAGGCUCCCUACAUGGAGCCUCCUUCUCCCUCUGCCUGUGCCUCAGCCUCUCUCUGUGUGUGUCUUUCAUGAAUGAAUAGGUAAAAUCUUAAAAAAAAAAAAACUUUAAAAAUAAAUAAAUAGGGAUCCCUGGGUGGCGCAGCGUUUAGCGCCUGCCUUUGGCCCAGGGUGUGAUCCUGGAGACCCGGGAUCGAAUCCCACGUCGGGCUCCCGGUGCAUGGAGCCUGCUUCUCCCUCUGCCUGUGUCUCUGCUUCUCUCUCUAUCUGUGUGACUAUCAUAAAUAAAAAUAAAAAAAAAUUUAAAAAUAAAUAAAUAAAUAAAUAAAUAAAUAAUAAAAAGAAUCAGUACUAAUGAAAGGCACAAUCAAUUAUUUCUUUCAGCCUCAUAGUCACUGAUUUGAGCUGAUAUCAUUUGCUUACCUACCUUUCAUUCAUCUGUUCCAGAAACGGUUAUCAAGUACCAACCAUUGCCAGACACUGUUGUUAGCCUGCAAAACCUACUUGGGCUUCCCUUGCAAUGGGGGCUGAUGAGUGCUAUGAAGGACAAUGAGGAGGUAGGCAGGUAGAUGUGGACAUGAGACUAGAUGGGCUAUUUAAAGAAGACCUCUCUGAGGACAGGACAUGUGAGCAGAGGCCUGAAAACAGUGAGGAAAUCUGUCAUGUAAGUAUCUGGGGAAGAACAUUCCAGAGAAAGUGUGAAGUGCAAAGGCACUGAGGCCGGAGUACACUUGGUAUAUUCAGGAGCAGCAAGGCCAGUGUCUCAAGUGGAGUGAGCCAAGGGAAAAGUGGUAGGAAUGGGAUCAGUGAGCAGGGGAGGUGUAAGCAGGAAAUACGGAGCCUUUAGAGCAGUAAAGGCUUGGCUUCUAUCUGCACAAAAUGCCAGGCAUUGCAGGGUUUUGAGCAAAGGAGUGGUUUGAACUGACUUAAGGUGUAAAGGAUCCUCCCUCCCCUAACCCUUGGGCUGCUGAGAAAGGAGAGAAGGAGGACAGAGAGAACCAUGGAGCUCUGGCUCUGUCUAGGCAAGAGGUGACAGGAGCCCUGGCAGCCGAGGUGGUAAGUGGCCUAAUUUGGGACAGAUUACCUUCCCACACAAGCAUGAUCUUUAGUGUGGUUGAUCCCAAGCAAAUGUUUAUUUUAUUUCAUUUCAUUUAUUUUCUUUAGUAGCUCUACAUCCAACAUGGGGCUCAAACCACAACCCCAAGAUCAGGAGUCUCACACUCUUCCAACUGAGAUGGCCAGGCAUCCCAGAGCAAAUGUUUAAAGCAAGGUUGAUGUUUCGACCUUUGAAUUCUCAUCUGAGCUCUGUACGCAUGGCCCACCCAUAACAGAGCGCUCAGGGAGCGCUUGCACCCUCGAAGGUCAGGACCUAGUGUGGUCAGGGGUGGGGAUUGGCUGUAGCAUCUGGGCAGUCACAUGGAGAGAUCUCUUUCUGGCAGUGAUAAAAUGGGUAAGGGACAUUUGGUGACUUGGUGAGCCAGGCUUCCUCCCAAGGCCCCGGGCUGCCCCUGGCUGCCCCACCUGGCUGCCCCUGCCUUCAGAGCCCCUGCUCGGGUCUCAUCCGUCCUCUUUGUCCCCACCACUUGGCUGGGCUGACCUGCAGGCUUGCUUGCUUUCUUUAGUAUGUGUGCUUCCUACCCUCACUCAGGGACACCACCAACUCUGUGCUUUCUUUGAAAGGGUAUAUAUGGGGCAGCCUGGGUGGCUCGGCAGUUUAGCACUGCCUUCAGCCCAGGGUGUGAUCCUGGAGUCCCAAGAUCAAGUACCCCGUCAGGCUCCCUGCAUGGAGCCUGCUUCUCUCUCUGCCUGUGUCUGUGCCUCUCUCUCUCUGUGUGUCUCAUGAAUAAAUAAAUAAAAUCUUAAAAAAAAAGGGGGGGGGUAUAUAUGUGAGGAAUCGGAUUUUGAGAGAGGUUGGGGUAGGGGGAGAGGAAGAGAGAAAGGAGGUAUUUUUAAAAUUUUGGCAUGGAAAGACAAACACUUUAGUCAUCUUCCAGGCUCAACCAAAUCCAAUUCUGAAGUGCUUAAGAACAAAGCUUUGCAAUCAGCUGUAUUCAAGGCAGCACAGGGGCCACUGUCACAAAGCACUGGGCUGAGUCCUGCAACUCCUUUCUGGGCGGGACCUGCCACUCUGGCCCCUCUGUCAUGGCUGGGCUCUGAGCAGCACCCAGAGGCAGCUUCCCCAAAGGAAGGGUCAGUCUCAUCAUUCCCUUCUACCCUAUGGAAUCCUGUUUGGUCGCUUCUUUGGAAAGAUUCCAUGAAGGGGUUCCAACCAUAACCACAGGAAGAAGGGGGACUGCCCCUGCCCUGGGACCCAGAGAGGGAGCAGAGGCAGAUAAUCCAGCCUGGCAGCUUGCUCAGGCUGGGGCUGGGGCUCUGGGCUGGGCCAGGAGAGUGAGUAGAUCUGGGAAACUUUCCUGGAGGGCGAGCGGGUGGAGCUGCAGGAGGAGCCUUUGGAGAAAGGGCUGAGUGUUCUGGCGGCCUCCUCCCAGGCUAGGACCCACUCCAUGCACACCCUCCCACCAAGGCAGGGAGCACCUCCUCCGAGCUUUGGCACCAGUUCCCUGGGCAAACUCAGAGCUCAAAAGAGGGGAUUUGGUUCACAGAGGCCACAAUACUCAAAAGCAGCAGAGAAAGGCCUGCGAGUGUCCUGGACCCAGGCCGACUCCCUCUUUGGGCCAGUUGCUGCGAGCUCGGAGGGAAGACAGGCCCAGCAAAAGUCCAGAUCAUUUGGAUACCUGAAAUCCUGAGGCUGACCACCCCAGAGCUCUGGGGUUUAGGAGGCGGGAGACUACAAAAUCCAGGAGACACAGACUGGCUCCUUUGAUCUCCCAGGGACAUGUCCCUGCGGAUCCCCAAGUGCCAAACUCCCCCUUGGAUGUCUUCCCAGGGUCCGUGGAGGAGACACAGGCAAGGGAGGUGGGGUUUUGUCAAGGCAGACUGAUGGAAGCUCACUGGCAGUAGCCCAGUGCCUCUGUAAUCCUGGCAGGCUGGGGGGCCCUUGUGGGACCGGGGGUAGUGGGCAGAGGGAGGCCAGAGACUGUUGAGUCUCUCUUUCUUUGACAGCUAACAUUUCCCAGAGCUAGCGCCCACAGGAGAAAGGAAAUCAGAGCUUCCCACCUCACACAUCUUUUUCCCAUUUUGUUCGUGCUGUCCAGGGAAAGCCAUUAGGGCUAGGUCAGUCUGGGGCCUCCCCCACCGCCCAUCUCUCCAGCCGGCUACAAGGAGGGGCAGGGAUGGGGGGGUCAUUGGGAGGACAAGGCCCUAGCCUGCUAAGGGGCCAGACUGAACUCUUGCACGCCCUCUUCAUUCCCUGCCCCCUCAGGAUGGGAGUUGGGGGUGGGGGCCCGGCAUCUGGUUGCUGGGGCCCUCCCUCACUUUGCCCCUGCACCUCUGCUUCUGUCUCCAGGGAGUCUGGCCUGCUGGCCCUAAGAAAGUCUGGCUUGCUUGGCCUGAGUCUGCAGGAAGAAGCCCCUUGGGUUGGGGGCUCUGACCUCCUCCCUGGAGCCAGGCAGGGGGUGGCACAUGGCUGGGUACUCCGGUCUGGAAGUGUGAUGCACUGGGAGCAUCAAGGAGCCUAGAAGGGGAGUCCUCCCCAAGCUGACUGACCUCCUCCCUGAGGCCAAGCCAUCAGCCUGUCAUCCUGCCCCUGCUCCCGGGGACAGUGAGUCCACUGCCCUCUUUCGAGCCCUACCCAGUACCGCGCACACACACCCCCUGCUCUGUCUUGUCUCUGGGACCUUGCCUGGCUCCCUCCCUCUCACUCCUUCUUCAAUCCUGGAGUUGGCUUCUCUGGCCCAUGGUCACUCUCUGCAGUUCAGGUCAGAGAAGGAGCAUAUCCCCCAGCCAGUCUGCAGCCCUGCUGAUUUCUUUCUUCUGCCAGAAAGUACAAGUCAUCUCAAUGGGGAGAGGGAUUCCCUGGAACCCCAGAGCUCCUUCAAUUUCCCACCCUCAGAGAGCAGGAGAGGAGGCAUCUGGGAGAUGGCCUGAGCUCCCCAGAACAAGUCUGGGGUCAGGCUGCAAGCUGCUCAUCUUUUCCAGGCCAGGCCACUGUCCCCAGGUACCUGGCAAACCCAGGUGUUCAGCCCACCAAACUUGUCAUGGCCCUGGCCUUCCCCGCCCUGCCCUGGGCUGCCAGGGGUUAAGGGACUGGUACAGGGCAAGGGGUGGGAGUGGCAGAGGGGUCUAGCCCUAGUCUCUGACUCAUAAAAGCCAAGAGGAGUUUAACUGCAGGUCACAGGGCUGCCUGACUUCUCCAUCCAGCAGUGCAGCCAGGAGGGGGGGUGGUCAUUCAGGAGGGGAAGUGGGGGCCACAGCUGGCCAGGCUCAGGCCCAGGCCCAUCCAGCUUCAGAUGCUGGCAGCUACCAUCAACAGUGCCGGCGAUAUUGGUUCCCCACCUCACCCUUGGAGGUUCCCUCAAAAGCAGGAAGACUCCAGAGUAAGGGGAGUGGGAUGUUGGUGCCUGUCAGUGCAGCAGGCUAGAAACAUGGGCAGUGGCCUGGAUGGGGAAAGAGGUGAUGCCCUCUGCCAGACCAGCAGGAAGCACUAGUCUGGGUGCUGCCACAAAAGCACAGUGACCGAGAAGCAAGCACCUCAAGGUCAGAGAGCAAGAAGAGUGUGACGGCUGCCCUCACCUCCGCGCUGCCCCCUGAAGAGGCCAGCAGAGCCAGGGGCCUCUCUCAGGGGACAGGACUUGGUCUGGACACGUCCUCAGCCAGUGCAUCCUCACCUCCUCCCGCUCGCCUGCCCGGCUCAGCGUGCCCAGCCCAGCCCUGAGAACAGCGUUGGCAGCUGGGAACCAGGUAGCAGAGCCAAAAACAACAGAGGAGCUGCUUGGCUGCCUGGGUGCCGCUCAGACCCUCGCCUGCUCUGUGAUUUCCCCUGGAGAGGGCAGCCCUCCUCCCACCUGAGGCUCUGACCCUGCUCAGUUCAGCAGGGCUGGGGGCUGGCCCUGGAGGUCAUCCAGGCCCUCCUUUCCAGGCCAGCCCCCAGCCCUUUCUUUACAUCACUAUGGCUUCUCUGCCGGCACCUUCCCUGGCUUGAAAGGACAGGAGUUGCCUGCUUUCCAGAUGUCUGACCCGGUCUACCAGUUGGCUGGAAGCCCUGUUCCCUGCUGUAACAGCAAUCUGUGGGGAGAAUCUGAGCCAGGCCUUACCAGAUCUGAAAAGGGCUAGAUCCCUGAACCCAGGCAAAUAGACAAAACCGGAACAUUCCCCUCUGUACUGAGGGUCAGACCAGGAGGCAGGAUGCUUGAGUUCACGCUGCACCACACUGAAUGCUGAGGGCUUGGGGGCCAGGGGACACCACUGUCUGGGCCCAGCCACUCCUAGCUCCUUUAUUCUACACUCGCCCCCCCACCCCAAAAGUUCUGCCCACACUGCUGCCCCUCCGCUGAGUGGCAGAGACCCCGUGUCCAGCCUCGCCUGGGUUUAAUUUGUACAAGACUCCCAGCCAACACACUCUGUGAUGCAGCGGAUACAAUAACACUGUUGGGGUGAGGCUCUUCUCCAAGUGCUGACCUUGGCCAGAGAAUCUUCUUGGUCCCAGGUUGGGGAGCGGGGAGGGGUUCGCAAUUCUCCCACCCUUUCCUUUUUUUUUUUUUUAAGAUUUUAUUUAUUUAUUCAUGAGACACACACACACACACAGAGACAGACAGACACAGGCAGAGGGAGAAGCAGGCUCCAUGCAGGAAGCCUGACAUGGGACUCGAUCCUGGGUCUCCAGGAUCAUACCCUGGGCUGAAGGUGCACUAAACCACUGAGCUACUGGGACUGCCUGUCUCCCACCUUUUCCAUCCCCAGCUGGGCUGGUGGUCCCUCCUGCCCCAUCCUCAAGAGAGAGUGGAGAGGGCUAGAGACAGCUUCUCCUCCCAAGCCCCUGACUCCUCCGUCACGCACACAUCUAUACCCACUCAUGCUCAGGCUUCUCCACCCAGCCAGAAGUGUGCCCACCCCCGUUCCUUCCACAGCAAAACCAGCCACCUUCCUCUUAGCCACAAGGGCAUGGGAACAAAGCCCCAGAAUGUUCCUUGCUGAGCUCUCAGGCCUGUUUCCUCCCCAUCCCACUCCACCCCCAUUCUGCUGAUACUCCCCCAGCUUUUCUUACCAACUUUACACUGCUCCCCAGUAUCCAAAUUCCUGGGGGAGCCCCCAGUAGGGGUCUGACCAACAUUCCUAGAAAGGGAGA